AUGAAACAUAUUAAAACAUAGGAAUUUCUGUAAUGUAUCAUCCUCUUUAUUAAUAAUAUACACCUCGGAGCUAAUGAUUCAUAAAUAAAAUUCUGUUAUAUAUAUUUUUGUUCAUGUUUAUUAACAAUUUUAUUAGCAUAGUCAGUGUUAUAUCUGUAAUGAUUAUGAAUUCAAUGAAAUUUAUAAUAUCCUAAAAGCUUAUUGCAAUCGAAUAACAAGUUCCUAUUAUUAACAUAUUUUAAGUAGUUUACAACACAAUCAUAUUAUUUAUAAACCUUAGAAAAAAUUACGUAUUUAUGAGCCAAUGGCUUUGAGGUAUUAUAUUAAAUUAUUACAAUGAUAAUGUAUAUAAAUCUCAUUGUUGAUAAUCUAUCAAACAUAAAUUACUGGCGUUUUUAGGUGAUGCUUAAAAAAUAUAUUGCUUAAGCAUUUUAAACGGGUAUAUAUAUUUUCUUUUUGUAAAUUUCAAUAGUGUUAAAAUAUAUCACAUUUAAAUGCCUAAGUUUUACACAACAAUUAUAAUAAUCACAUCACAUUUAUAAAUGUAUCAUUUAUAAUGUAAGCAUUAGGACUGACUUUGUUUAAUGUAAUAUAAGUAUUUAAAUUUUAGCACUUAGAUUAAAUGCUGUUCCAAUAAAUGGUUUAAUUGUUAUUAAUAUAAAACGAUACAUUUUGUAAUAUUUACAUGUGGUAUGAUAUUUAAAACGUUAUGUGUAUAUAUUUAUAUAUUUUUUUUUGUCUAUACCGACACGAGAAUUUUGUAGCAAUUACAUAAUACCGAGUAUUGAAUAAAAAAAUGAACGUGUAACGUAAAAUAAUAAAAUUUUCCAUUUUCUUUUUUGAUAUACAUAUCUAUGUAUAUAUGAGAAUUGUUAUUUAACGUUUACACAACUUAAAAAGUUCAGUAAUAAUAAGUUUUAGUUUUAAUUAAAAUCCAGUUAUACUUCUUUUUGUUUAAAAUUUAAAGGAAAGCAACAUGUGCUGGAAGGCAAAAAAGGUGAAGCUCAAAACAGUUGCAAUUAAAAGAAAGAAAAUCAAUAAUAAGCGUGAAUUGCAUUUAUUUUAUUCUACAAUUACAUCCUUUGAAAAGUUGUUAUUCACAAAGCAAAAUAUUCAAACAUUAGUAAUAAUUGGUCAAAGGAAUAUUACCUUUCUGAAUGCAAUUUCGGAAUUAAUUCAGUUACAAGAAUUAUGGAUUGUUGAAUGUGGAAUUAAGGAUAUACCAGCUUUUAAAGAGAAUUGUUUACUGAGAAAACUUUAUUUAUAUUCCAAUGAACUACCUUCUAUACCAAAUCUAGAAGCUUGUACAAAUUUAACUACUUUAUUCUUGUCAGGAAAUGAUAUAUACGAACUGAAGAAUAUUGAUAAAUUAAUUUUAUUGCAAGAGCUUAAUUUGGCCAAUAACAAAUUAGAAAGAAUAAAUAAAAUUUCUUGGAAGAAGUCUGAAUUACAUUAUUUGAACUUGGCAGGAAAUUAUUUGUGUACUAUGAAGGAUGUACAGAAUCUAUCACGACUUCAAAAACUAAAUUCAUUAGUAUUUGGGGAUCCAUUAUAUGGAGAUUGUCCUUUGGUAACACUUUGCAAUUAUCGUAUAUAUGUUAUCCAUUAUGUUCCACGUAUUAAAAAGCUAGAUCAUUACAAUAUAUGUGAGAAAGAAAGAUAUUGUAUCAAUCAUUUUUUCAAGAGGCAAUUAGCUUAUCAUAAUGUAUUAUUUUAUAAGCAAUUAAAUGCACACUUAAGUUUAUUAAAACAGAAAUAUAAAGAACAUGAGAAAGAAAUGCUUCAUUUCAAAAAUCAACUUUAUACAAAUAAAAUAAAUAAAAAGAUUCAAAAUUAUUCUAAAAAUGAAACAUACGAAGAAUUGCAACAUAUAAUGCUAAAAAUGGAGUCAAAUAAAAAGCAACUUGUACAAAUGAAAGAAAUGGCAAACAUGCAACUUAGAAUUUUGCAGCAGCAGUUACUUACUAAUAUGAAGUACUGUGGAAAUUUAAGUUUUAUUGAAUACAAUGCAUUUCCUGAAAACACAAUUACUCAAUUAUGCAAACGGUUUUUAGAAGAAUCACUGUGUUCAGUUAUAAAAGGUGGCAUAGGCAUAACAGGUUUAAAAUUACAUAAAGUAGUAAAAGUGUGUAAUAAAGAAAUUGAUCAGUUUAGUAAUUGGAAAAAUGAAGAUUUACAGUCAGAUGAAUGCAGUACUAUUUUAAAAAUUUUAAUAUCACCUGGGGUAACAAAUAUCCAAAAAUGGCCUUUUAAUUUCUUUAAGACUGAUUUACUUAUUAAAAAAGAAUUAAUGGUAACUAAUUGUUUGGCAGUGGCAGAUUGUGAUUGGUUGAAUAAAAUAUUUUCAACUAACGAAGAUAAAAAUAUAUUAAAUUUAUAUAAUGUCUGUGAAAAACGACGCGUUUGUAUACUUAUACAGACACCAAUUUUCAGUUCUUCUAUAAAAACAGAUAGUGCUAAUAACUAUUUGCAUAUGAAGUAUGCAAAUUAUUGGAAUGAUUCAAGUGAAAUUUGCCAGGUGUUUAAAUUAACAAAUGCAGAUAUCAGAAAUCCCAUGUUUGUUAUAGAAUAUGAAUACAUAUUGAAUGAAUCAACAAAUGAAGACAAAUAUGAAAGUUCUGUUAUACCACCUACAGUAAAUGAAUUUCUGCAUGUAUGCUUAUCUAAUUUUAAUAUUGCACAAUAUAUUAAUAUUAAUGAAAGAGUGCAGUUACAUAAUCUCAGAAAAAUAUGUAUUUGUGGACAGAAGAUAAAUUCAAUUGAUAUGGAUUUGGAUUUACCUAACUUAAGAGAACUUGAUAUUUCAUUUAAUCAAUUAAUUGAAUUCCCAAAUUCAAGCUUUAUGAAGAACGUGAUAACAUUAAAUAUUAGUUUCAAUAACAUACAAAUCAUACAUGUUAAAGAAAUUUUACCCACAUUGCAGGAAUUGGAUAUAUCAUGGAAUUGUUUAAUACAUUGCUUUCAAAGCAUUCAAGUUUUUACAGCUCUUAUACCCAACAUAUCUAAAUUGAAUAUAUUUAACAAUCCUUUUAAAGACAUUAUUGACCCAGAAGUAGCUGAAUAUUUAAUACACAUAUAUUUGCCAAAGUUACAGUUUAUUAAUGAAAUUAAAUGUGAAGAUCUUGAUUUAUCCACAUAUUAUUUCCCAUGUGCAUUUAAUAUGUGUAAGCUGAGCAACAAACGACGUAAUAAAGUAAUGUUUUUAAAACAAGGUAUAAGAGGACAAGUGAAACUAAAAGAAAAGAAAGCUUUUAAUCGAGCCAAAUAUAUUCACAUAUCAAAAGAUUGCUUUACAGUAUACAAUAUUUUACAAAAUGGAGUGAAUAUUCAAGAGUUUUGUGCUACAUGUUGUUUAUUAAUAACAUUUCCUGUAGUAAAGCCUUUGAAAAAUUUAAUUAAACUUAAUCUUGGGAGUAAUUUUAUUUCUGUAUUGGAUGUCUUCACUCAACAAAAUUUUCCAACAUUAAAAUACCUGGAUUUAACUAAUAAUUUAAUCACAAGCCUAGAAGCAAUGGGAUCAUUUCACACAUUACAAGAGUUUUAUUGUGGGAAUAAUGAAAUAGAAAGCCUCGUGCAAAUAGAUAAUGUUAAAUCAUGGAAAAUGUUAUAUAUUAUAGAUCUUUGCAACAAUCCAAUAAAUGCAGAUACAUUAUAUAAAAAGUUUAUUAUAUUUCACUUGAGCAAUGUUGAAUAUAUUUCUGGAGAAUCUGUACAAAAUAUAGAUAUCUCUGAAGCAAGAUACAUAUUUGGCAACAAAUUAGAUAAAUAUGUGCUAAAUGGAAUAUAUAAACCUGAUCGGCUAAUUAAUAUUACACAAUUGAGUCUGGUUGGUUGUUCUUUAUCAAAGGUGGAUCUUUCUUCUGAAUGUUUACCAUAUUUAGAGAGCUUAGAUCUCAGUAAAAAUCAAAUAACUUAUUUAUGGGGUCUUCAUUCUUUUCAAUAUUUACACACAUUAUGUUUAAGCUACAAUUGUCUUGAAUCAUUUAAUGGAAAUAAUUGUGAGAAAACUAACUGUACAUUUCCAAAAUUAUAUACUUUAUUAUUAGAUCAUAAUUACAUUAAAUCAGUGAUGAAUAUUACAAAGCAAAUAUUACCAGUAAUUAAACAUUUAUUUUUAAACAAUAAUUAUCUUCAAAAUAUUAAUGGUAAUGUCUCAAAUAUUAGAUUAUAUUUUAUUAUUUAGCUUUCAACCAUAAUGUACUUAUCUAAAAUAUUUAGAAGUAACUCAGUGUUCUACUUUGGAAUCUUUAAUUUUGGAUCAUAAUGAAAUUGAAAUGCUAAACAUUGAUCAUUUUAUUGAGAAUGACAAUUUAAAGCUUUUGUCCCUUGAGAAUAACAAGAUAAAAUCCUUAGAAUUUGCAAAACCAUUAACAAAAUUAGAGAAACUUUAUGUUGCUCAUAAUUGUUUAACAAAUGAAGUUGAAAUACGGUAUUUAUUAUUAUUGAAAAAUUUAGAAGAAAUAACAAUUGAAGGAAAUCCUUUAUACAUAGAGAUAAAUAAAGAUAAAAUAAUUAUUCCAAAUUUUGAGAUAAAAGAAAUUGAAGAAAUUUGAAUAAAUAUGAAG